AUACGGAGGACGCGAGCGUUAUCCGGAAUCAUUGGGCUUAAAGCGCGCGCAGGCGGACAUUUAAGUCAGCGGUGAAAUCGUGGGGCUCAACCCCAGUCUGCCGUUGAUACUGGGUGGCUUGAUUGCGGUCGAGGUUGGCGGAAUUCGUUGUGGAGCGGUGAAAUGCAUAGAUAUGACGAAGAACACCGAUUGCGUAGGCCGCUGGCCAGCACGUGAAUGUCGCUCAUGCACGAAAGUGCUGGGAUCGAACAGGAUUAGAUGCCCUGGUAGUCCGCACAGUAAACGCUGAAUACUUGUUUUCGGCGAUAUACUGUCGGAGGCAAAGCGAAAGCGAUAAGUAUGCCACCUGGGGAGUGCGCCGGCAACGGUGAAACUCAAAGGAAUUGACGGGG
rnacentral:rRNA from 1 species